AGUGAACGCUGGCGGUAGGCCUAACACAUGCAAGUCGAACGGCAGCACCGUAAGAGCUUGCUCUUACGGGUGGCGAGUGGCGGACGGGUGAGGAAUACAUCGGAAUCUACUUUUUCGUGGGGGUUCACGUAGGGAAACUUACGAUAAUACCGCAUACGACGUACGGGUGAAAGCAGGGGAUCUUCGCACCUUGCGCGAUUGAAUGAGCCGAUGUCGGAUUAGCUAGUUGGCGGGGUAAAGGCCCGCCAAGGCGACGAUCCGUAGCUGGUCUGAGAGGAUGGUCAGCCGCACUGGAACGGAGACACGGUCCAGGCUCCUACGGGAGGCAGCAGUGGGGAAUAUUAGACAAUGGGCGCAAGCCUGAUCCAGCCAUACCGCGUGGGUGAAGGAGACCUUCGGGUUGGAAAGCCCUUUUUUUGGGAAAGAAAAGCAGCAGGUUAAGACCCCGCUGUUCUGACGGUACCCAAAGAAUAAGCACCGGCUAACUUCGUG
rnacentral:rRNA from 1 species